UCUCUCCCUCUCCACUUUUCAACUUGAUGAUCCGAAGACUUUGACCCCACCGACGCGACUUCUCCGCCAUGGCGAUCCAGUUCAAAUUCAGAAGCUCCGUCAACUUCGAUUCCGUCGCCAUCGACGGCCGAGCCUCCAUCUCCGUUCGCGAUCUCAAAUCCAAGGUAAUUCGCCACAAGAACCUCAACCUCUGCCAAGACUCCGAUCUCCUCUUCUCUGACGCCGUAACCGGUCAAGAGUACAACGACGAGAAUAUUCAAAUUCCGUGUGGUUCAAGCGUGAUAAUUAAGAGAGUUCCUGCAGGAUCAGUACAUGUGGAUCUGCCUCACUUCAACUCGUGCCCGAAUCUUCAUAGCAAGGACUCUGUCGACGAUAAAUCACUUGUUGCAGCGAAUGCUGAGACUGUUGACUUUGAUGACUUUGGGGUUGACGUGUAUCCCAUUCCUAAAGAAACCGUUUUCAGUUCUGAUUUGGAUCCAGACAAGGAUGACUUCAUCUAUGAUUAUCAACCAAAUAGCGAUAACUGCAUCACAAGGUAUUCGGAGCCCGCUGUGAGAGGAUGCCUGAAACUUGAAGCAAGUGGCAUUAGUGAUGCUAUUCCAGGAGGUCAUGCACAUAGUGGAGUUGAACAAAUCAUAGUGCCUACAAAAUCAAAGCCUGAAGAAGAUGACAUGAAUGUGGAAAGGGUGGGCAGUGCGAAUCCCCUAGAUACAGGGCAUGCUAAUUUGUCAACAGAGCUGAAAUGCUCUCUAUGCAAUGCAUAUUUCAAGGAGGCUGUGAUGAUACCAUGCUGCCAGCACAGUUUUUGUGAGAAAUGCAUUUCUCAAGUGUUGCGAGAAAAGUCCAGAUGUCCCAAGUGUUUUUCGACCAAAUGCAGAGUAGAAGAUUUGCUGCCGAAUGUUUCUCUUAGGCAAGCAAUUGAGCAUUUCCUAGAAUCCCAAAAUUUAAUCACUGCUCCAGAUAAUGAUUGUUGCCAAUAUGCUCCAGAUGGAGAAUCUGGAAUUCAAGCCAAAGAUGUGUCUCGCGGCAAUAAUUUUUUACAGAGAGAGCCAGAGGUGCCUCAUUCUCCUGAAACAGGGACAGGAUCUAAUCAUUUCUUCGCAGAAUCUGCUUUUAACCCUCCUUUCAAAAAAGAUGUUAAACCUGCAAUCCCGAAACAAAGGCCACCUUGGGUUUCUUCAGAAGGUUGUGACAAGAGCUUCUUGGAGACUGGAAAGCACAGAAAGGGGAAACGUACCUGUUACAUGUGUGGUUCUACAGACCAUUUCAUAAGAGACUGUCCAGUGGCUUCAAGCCCACAUCCUAUGCUUCAUGCAGGAAAUGCAAUAUUUCCAGGAGCCAUGCCAGGUUAUGUACCACCAUAUUGGAAUGGAGCUCCCUCACCUCGUGCCAUGCCCUUUAGAAAUCCAUAUGGAAAUCAUGCGAUGACGGCGUUUGGUGCAAAUAUGGUCCCUCCUGCUCCUUAUACUAUUCCUACAUACAUGCCAUCAAUGUAUUACUCAUUCCCUUCCUUUGGUGGAUACAUGAGGAUGAGAGGUGUUGCUCCUCUUCCAGGGACUAGCAAAGACUGCUAUUUAAGUCAUUCGGAAUCCCUGGAUCUUCAUGGUGGGGAAAAGAGAAGAAAAGUUUCAAAUGAGAAUUUGAGGAGAGAACAAUCUCAUGAUUGUGACGAUGACGAAGACCAUGAUUUAAACGAGAGACAUGGCUAUGAUGGGACAGAAAGACUACAUGACCACAGAUCUUGUAUAAACAGGGAAAAGAGCAUAAGUUACUCUGAGGAAGGCUCUACUAAAGGGUCCCAGAGGCAAUAUCGGCUUCAUAAUCACACAGAUGAUGACAGGCUCGCAGUUGAUGGUCAGUGGAAGAGUUCGCGUUUGGUGGUUGAUGGUAGAGCUCCAAAGCAGUAUCAUCGCACGGAAAGAUCAAGCUCAGAAUUAGACGAUGUGCCAAGUAGCUCUGGUUUCCAUGAAGAGAGAAAGAAACACCACCAUAGGAGCUCCAGAAAGCACAAGGAUCGAAGAGAGCAGUGUGGCAGUGAUUCCAGUUGGAGUGAUCAUCGAUAUACCAAAGAUGAUAACAGAAAAGGGAUCGAGCAUGAAUCCAAAAGGCAGAGUCAGAAAUAUCGCAGCCACUCAGGAUCUGGUAUGGAUCAAAGUGGUUCCAGUGAUAAGAAGUUGCAGAAAGAGAGCAGUCACAGUUCUAGACAUUCUAAGCACAGUGGAAAGAGUAAUGUCAAUGGGCGGAGUCAUGACAGGUGGAAGAUGGUUAGUGGGUCGGAUGAAGAUUGUGGAGAAGGUUAUCAGUAUUCUAGACAGAAAAGAAAACACUAGAAAACAUCCGGACUGGUUUGUGAGAUCUGAUUGAUUCGGCUUUUGGACAGUAACUGUUUGUUAAUAUCUGCUAACCCACCGCUUCACAUUUUAAGCUUUGAUCAUAGAUGGAGAGGCUAGCAUACAAAAGUUUUAACAAGAGCAGCAAUUGUUGAUGUAGCCACAGACUUGUGUAUGCUUUUUGCUCAUACCGGAACUUACUUUCGCAGACUUGUUAAAGCCGGUUGAAGGUAUGUUCCCUUUCAAAGGAAAAAAAGGUACAGAAACAGAAGCCCUAAAACCAGGGGGAUUAGAACAAAGUCAGGUAUUUGCUUUCCUUCCCCAGGAAGAUGCAAUUGGACCCAAUGCAGUCGCAACCCAACAGUCCAACGCAGCAAUAUUUACCAACUACUGCAAAAUUAAGAAGCUGCAAAGAAAGAUGUUGACAUGAACUGCAAGUUUGCCACAAACUUAUUCGAUCGAUCAAGGGCUCGAUCGAUUAAGGGCGAUGGAUACCCUGGUUCCUGCAAUAAGAAGUGGUCGCGGAGAUUAUUUCGACUGUUCUCACUUAUUCAUGGACAACCAAAGCUAGACGAGAGGACUCGAAAAUGGUUACGUUCUGGUUGCAGUGUCUCAAACUAAUCAUUCGACGCCGCAACCUUGGUGUCUCCAUUUCAUGCAGGUCCUUACAGGGACUUGACAUGCAUGGACACUGAACUUGAACUGAAACCCUAAGCAAUUAAAAUCACGAACUUAUUAACAAGAAAAAUUAAAACCUCGAACUUGUUAAACUGAAAAAUUAUAAAUACGAAACCAGUGACAAAGAUUAGCAAGUGCCCCCACUGGCGGCGGAGUUCCUUCCGCCGGUCGGGGUUUCUCAACCUCAUAAUGCCAAAUAUACCUGUCCGGGUAACGCACUCCUGGCCAGGCUCCGGUCAUACAAUCUUCGUUCACCCCGGUCAUACAAUCUUUGUUUGGGAAAACAUGAGACACUAUUCAUCGAAGGGCUGAUUCCGAAGAGCUUUUGAAUUGGUUAAAAAUGCUUUCAGAUUACCAGAAACAUUUUUUAGUGCUUUUCUGACGGUAUAAUUUCAAGUAAAUUAGGGGUGGGCACGGUUCGGUGUGUUUUUGAGUGAAACUGAAACCGAAAUUUUUUGCAGUUCGGUUCGGUGUGAUUUUGAAGUCAAUCGAAAUGAAAUCAAACUAUUUGGUUUA